rnacentral:rRNA from 1 species
GCUUGUCUCAAAGAUUAAGCCAUGCAUGUCUAAGUGUAAAUAAGUCUAUACUGUGAAACUGCGAAUGGCUCAUUAAAUCAGUUAUCGUUUAUUUGAUGAUCUCUUACUACUUGGAUAACCGUAGUAAUUCUAGAGCUAAUACAUGCACAAAAUCCCGACUUACGAAGGGAUGUAUUUAUUAGAUACAAACCAACAUCGUGGUGAUUCAUAAUAACUUUGCGAAUCGUAUGCCUCACGGCGACGAUGAAUCAUUCAAAUUUCUGCCCUAUCAACUGUCGACUGUGAUAUAGACGCUCACAGUGGUUUUGACGGGUAACGGGGAAUCAGGGUUCGAUUCCGGAGAGGGAGCCUUAAAAACGGCUACCACAUCCAAGGAAGGCAGCAGG